GCGGACGGGUGAGGAAUACGUAGGAAUCUGCCCUUAAGUGGGGGAUAACCCGGGGAAACCCGGAUUAAUACCGCAUGAUCUCGAAAGAGCAAAGCAGGGGACCGCAAGGCCUUGCGCUUUUGGAGGAGCCUACGUCGGAUUAGCUAGUUGGUGAGGUAACGGCUCACCAAGGCGACGAUCCGUAACUGGUCUGAGAGGAUGAUCAGUCACACCGGAACUGAGACACGGUCCGGACUCCUACGGGAGGCAGCAGUGGGGAAUAUUGGACAAUGGGCGAAAGCCUGAUCCAGCAAUGCCGCGUGUGUGAAGAAGGCCUUCGGGUUGUAAAGCACUUUAAGUUGGGAAGAAAAAGCUUCACCUAAUACGGGAGCCUUGACGGUACCGACAGAAUAAGCACCGGCUAA
rnacentral:rRNA from 1 species